GACGAACGCUGGCGGCGUGCCUAACACAUGCAAGUCGAACGGAACUCGGGACGUCGGUUCUGAGUUUAGUGGCGAACGGGUGAGUAACGCGUGAGGAACCUGCCUUUCAGUGGGGGACAACAGUUGGAAACGACUGCUAAUACCGCAUAAUGUGUUUUGGGGGCAUCCCCGAGACACCAAAGCUUUAUGUGCUGAAAGAUGGCCUCGCGUCUGAUUAGAUAGUUGGUGAGGUAACGGCUCACCAAGUCUGCGAUCAGUAGCCGGUCUGAGAGGAUGAACGGCCACAUUGGGACUGAGAUACGGCCCAGACUCCUACGGGAGGCAGCAGUGGGGAAUAUUGGGCAAUGGGGGAAACCCUGACCCAGCAACGCCGCGUGAAGGAAGAAGGCCUUCGGGUUGUAAACUUCUUUUAGCAGGGACGAAGAACGUGACGGUACCUGCAGAAAAAGCAACGGCUAACUACGUGCCAGCCGCCGCAGUAACAC
rnacentral:rRNA from 1 species